rnacentral:rRNA from 1 species
AUACAGAGGGUGCGAGCGUUAAUCGGAAUGACUGGGCGUAAAGCGCGCGUAGGCGGCUUAUUAAGUCAGAUGUGAAAUCCCCGGGCUCAACCUGGGAACUGCAUCUGAUACUGGUAAGCUAGAGUUUUGGAGAGGGAAGUAGAAUUUCAGGUGUAGCGGUGAAAUGCAUAGAGAUCUGAAGGAAUACCAGUGGCGAAGGAGACUUCCUGGCCAAAAACUGACGCUGAGGUGCGAAAGCGUGGGUAGCAAACGGGAUUAGAAACCCUAGUAGUCC